AGAUUGAACGCUGGCGGCAUGCCUUACACAUGCAAGUCGAACGGUAGAGUAGCAAUACUCGAGAGUGGCGAACGGGUGAGUAAUAUAUCGGAACGUGCCCAGUCGUGGGGGAUAACGUAGAGAAAUUUACGCUAAUACCGCAUACGAUCUACGGAUGAAAGCGGGGGACUCGCAAGAGCCUCGCGCGAUUGGAGCGGCUGAUAUCAGAUUAGGUUGUUGGUGAGGUAAAAGCUCACCAAGCCGACGAUCUGUAGCUGGUUUGAGAGAACGACCAGCCACACUGGGACUGAGACACGGCCCAGACUCCUACGGGAGGCAGCAGUGGGAAUUUUGGACAAUGGGCGAAAGCCUGAUCCAGCAAUGCCGCGUGCAGGAAGAAGGCCUUGGUUGUAACUGCUUUUGUACGGAACGAAAGGCUCUUCUAAUAAGAGGACCCAUGACGGUACCGUAAGAAUAAGCACCGGCUAACUACGUGCCAGCAGCCG
rnacentral:rRNA from 1 species